rnacentral:rRNA from 1 species
UACGUAGGGGGCAAGCGGUUGUCCGGAAUUAUUGGGCGUAAAGAGCGCGUAGGCGGCCACCGCAAGUCGACUGUGAAAUCUCCGGGCUUAACCCGGAAAGGUCAGCCGAUACUGCGGGGCUAGAGUGCAGAAGGGGCAACUGGAAUUCUCGGUGUAGCGGUGAAAUGCGUAGAUAUCGAGAGGAACACCUGCGGCGAAGGCGGGUUGCUGGGCUGACACUGACGCUGAUGCGCGAAAGCUAGGGGAGCGAACGGG